GCGUCCCAUUAGCUAGUUGGUGAGGUAACGGCUCACCAAGACCUCGAUGGGUAGGGGCUCUGAGAGGAUUGUCCCCCACACUGGUACUGAGACACGGACCAGACUCCUACGGGAGGCAGCAGUAAGGAAUAUUGGGCAAUGGACGCAAGUCUGACCCAGCCAUGCCGCGUGAAGGAAGACGGCCCUAUGGGUUGUAAACUUCUUUUCUCAGGGGGUAAACUCCGGAACGUGUUCCGGACUGAAAGUACCUGAGGAAUAAGCAUCGGCUAACUCCGUGCCAGCAGCCGCGGUAAUACGGAGGAUGCGAGCGUUAUCCGGAUUCAUUGGGUUUAAAGGGUGCGCAGGCGGAUAUAUAAGUCGGAGGUGAAAUUCUGAUGCUCAACAUCAGCCGUGCCUUCGAUACUGUAUAUCUAGAGUCAAGUUGGAGUAGGCGGAAUGUGUUGUGUAGCGGUGAAAUGCUUAGAUAUAACACAGAACACCGAUCGCGAAGGCAGCUUACUAAACUUUGACUGACGCUCAUGCACGAAAGCGUGGGGAUCAAACAGGAUUAGAUACCCUGGUAGUCCACGCUGUAAACGAUGAUUACUCGCUGUUGGCGAUACACAGUCAGUGGCUAAGCGAAAGUGAUAA
rnacentral:rRNA from 1 species